rnacentral:misc_RNA from 1 species
UGGUUCUGGCAUCGAUGAAGAACGCAGCGAAAUGCGAUAAGUAAUGUGAAUUGCAGAAUUCAGUGAAUCAUCGAAUCUUUGAACGCACAUUGCGCCCAUCAGUAUUCUGGUGGGCAUGCCUGUUCGAGCGUCAUUUCAACCCUUAAGCCUAGCUUAGUGUUGGGAAUCUACAUCUGGGGGCCGCCUUGUGUGGUUACCCUGUAGUUCCUGAAAAUCAACGGCGGAUUUAUAGUAUCCUCUGAGCGUAGUAAUUUUUUAUCUCGCUUUUGUUUAGGUGCUGUAACUCUUGCCGUUAAACCCCCAAUUUUUUAUGGUUGACCUCGGAUCAGGUAGGAAUACCCGCUGA